AAAUGCGAUACGUAAUGCGAAUUGCAGAAUUCCAGCGAGUCAUCGAAUCUUUGAACGCAUAUUGCGCCCGCCGGCAUCCCGGCGGGCACGCCUGUCCGAGCGUCAUGA
rnacentral:rRNA from 1 species